CAUCCAUCCUUUGAAGCAUCCAGAAGAAAGCACAUUUUCUUUGAAGUCCUGGGAUUUCCUCUGAUUGGAACACUUAAGGUCAAGUGCUCACUGCAGAAGCAAUCAGUCCAGCUGGAGGAGAGUUGGUUGUAUCCCAUUUCACAGACAAGAACCUGAAGCUCAGAAAGGAGACGGGAUGUGCUCAGGUGUAAGUGCAAAACAAUGGAUGAAGACCUCUCAGAGAAGCCUUUUAUUCAUUCGUGGACUCGAGCACCAUCGGCCUCAUUUUCCAGACGCGAAAAUGGUCCUCAGUUACAGAGGGAAUUUUGGUUUUAUAGGGUACAAUGAGGAUGGUUUAAUCAUUGGAAGCCGUGCAUGUGCAGUUUGGACGGUCAGGGGCUAAUUGUACAGAUUAAAAUUUUAACUUAGGAGGGUAGUUGUGAAAAGGUUGAAACUCAGUGUUGUCUGGGGAGAGAGGGGUCCAGAUCCCAAGGGAUGAGUACUUAAAUCUUUUCUAUUGCUUUUCUUUCUCUAGGAUCCAUUGUUUACCAGAGUUUCAAUAUUUGCUGUGCCUCCAUUUAGGACUAAUUUGCAAUGGGGGAAGGUCAAAGUUUAUGGCCCAGCAUUC